rnacentral:lncRNA from 1 species
UUUAUCCGAACUUGUGAAGAAUUUGAGAUUUUGGGCUUGGGCUUGGCCUCUGGCCUUCGAUUGUCACGAACUUGGGCUUGGCCUCUGGCCUUCUGUCGUGGGGUCAAUUCAUGACUAAGGCAAAAUAAAUAAUGUCUUUUUUACCCUACUAUAUUACAAAAAUAUCAAGGUUGUUAUUGGCUUUCUAUGCCUUAUUUGUGCUUGUUUUUUUUUUUUUUGGUUACAUCGGGGCCCGUUUGAUUCAAAGAACAAAUUUAAAAAUAAAUUCUUUCCCAAAAGAUGGGAAAUUGAAGAUUUAUUUUCCACGUUUGGUAAUAUUGGGAAAGUAGCCGGAGAUAUCAUUUUAUUUCCCUUCCUAUGUUUGUUUUGAGUAGAAAUGGAAAACAAAAUUUGUAUAAAUUUUCAAUUAUAUCCAUAUUAAAUCAAAUAAAAAAAGAAUGCAUUUAAUGAUAUAUUGUAAUUCUAAAUUGUUAAUUGGGACAAAAUAGUCAAGAAAAAUGUUUAUUUAAUAUUGACUUAUUUUCCCAAACUUUCUCAUGAGAAGAGAAAAUAAAACUCAAGUUGGGAGGAUGGCUUCACUUUCCUCCUACUUUCCCAUUGGUCAAACAAUGAUUUCUCAUACCUGAACUUCCCAAACAUGAAAAAGCAAUUGAUUUCUCAUCCUCAAAUCUCAUUUCCCAUGAACCAAACGAGGCCUGGGAAGAAAGACAACUUUGGAAUUUCGAUCCUGGGUGCCAAGCAGGGCAGAAAAACUUAUAUGAAAUGGGGAUAGCACUGUUUUGCUAUCCCUGACCAAUCACAGAUUGACACAUAAAAAAGUGAUCACGCAUGAUCUACCAUGAUUGAUUGAGAAUAUUAAAAUCAUGCUAUCCCGGUUUCAUGUAAGUGUUUCUCCAAGCAGAGAAAAAAGGGGAGGGCCAUAACUUGUGCUUUCAAUCUUGCAAUUUUCUCAGCUUUUUAAAUCUAAAAUUAUGAUUUUAUUCUUAAUAUUGAUGGAAAUUUGAAUGGAAAUUCAAAAAAUUGAUAGCGAUUCCCUUGUUGUUAUAUUUUAUAUAGUUGAAGUUUUUAAUUUAAAAAAAUAAAUAUUUAGGGGAUAAAUUGAUAAUUAUGUAGAGUUGAGAUAACCCAAGAAAAAAACCCCUUAACACGUUUUGUAUAAGCUUCACAAGCUAUUAUCGAGAAAAAGGGAAAAAAAAAAAAAAAAAGCUUCAGAAUCAGAAGCUCUAACUCGCAAGCGCAUUUCUUCUUCUUCCCCUUCCGAUUGACAUGGACUCUCCGCCAGCAAAGAGCUGGAGCAUCCACAGCCGGCCCGAAAUCAUCACAAAGUAUAAGAUCCUCGAGCGGGUCGGAUCCGGAGCCUACUCGGAUGUGUACAGAGCCAUUCGAUUCUACGACAACCUCACCGUCGCGCUCAAGGAGGUCCACGACUACCAGUCGGCGUUUCGAGAAAUCGAGGCCCUCCAGGCCCUCCACAGCUGUCCCAACGUCGUCGUUUUGCACGAGUACUUUUGGCGCGAGGACGAGGACGCUGUGCUCGUGUUAGAGUUUUUGACGACUGACUUGGCCACUGUGAUCAGAAGCGCUAAGAAGAGAGAGGGUGGGAUUGGGCGCGGGGAGGUCAAGAGGUGGAUGCUGCAAAUCCUAUCUGGAGUUGACGCGUGUCAUCGGAAUAUGGUGGUCCACCGCGAUUUGAAGCCCAGUAAUUUGUUGAUUGGUGAUAAUGGUGUGCUUAAGUUGGCUGAUUUUGGUCAGGUAAUUUUGAUUGCUCGCGGAUUGCUUUUGUUUUGUUUUUUUUUUCUUUUCUGUUUUUGUUUCAGAAGAAAAUUGCGAAACUUUGGUGUUUUAUUGAUGGUUAUUGAGUCACAUUAGGGGCUAAUGAUUCUUUUAAGUUUUCUAAUAAGAACUAUAAUCGUGCUUUUAUAGGUAUGUAGUGGAUUAGAUUUUCUUGGAGCUGCUUUCGAUCAUAAUAAAGUUGUGGAUUUUCGUUUGUAACAUGUUUCAAUGAAAAAAGUUUUGAGUGAGAGAAGAGGACGGCUUUUAGGAGGAGCAAACUGGUUUAGUUUUCAAUGCACUGGCAUUAAGUGUCAGUCUAUAACUUAAAAUUCUUAAAUUUGGUAACUGCAUCUAUUUUGAUUGAUUAGUCUUCCAUUGUGGUCUAAGGGGUUUUGUACCGGUCUUGAUUGGAAGGUUGGCAUUUUACUUUAAUCUUUAUCAGAACUCAGAUGAUCACAUUUGUCAUAUUUGAUAGAAUGAUUUGGAUAACGGGAUUUUGAUUUUUUUGACUGACUUUGAAUUAUGUGAUUAUUUGUUGUAUGAAAAUACAAAUUAGAUUUGUUUGGUUGUUUGUGUUGGAGAAUUUUCGAGUUAAAAUGAUAUCAGAACGAUCUGGAAUUAGUUGAAUGUUAAUUCUGAGGAAGCAAAUCAUCACAUUGCUCUCUGUAGUUUGAGAAAGGAUUGGUAUCAUCGUUCUUCAUGCACUGGCUGCAGAAGAUUGGCAUCUUUUAUGUGUAAUACGAAAUCAUUCACUUAAACUCACUACUUGUUAUGAAAUGCCUGCCUGCUAACUAGCCAUUCACUUAUCAUAAGUUGGAAUUUUGAUAGCUGCUAACUCCAGGGCUCCAGUCUUAACUAGAAUAUUUGUAGACUUGAUUUUAUCCAAAAUGCUGACAAAGAUGUCAAUUUAAACAUGUCUAACAUUAUGUUAGUACUUUUUCAUAUUUGGUUUUGUUUGAUGCUUUCUACAAUUUUACAUUUCAACAGCUCGGAGUUAUUUUUGUUAUGUCCUCAUUAACUUAUGUAGGAGUGAACAUUUAGUUUUGUCUCUAUUUUUAGGCAAGGAUACUCCUAGAGCCUGGAUAUGUUCCUGAUGAUGAAAACCCAGAACCAUAUGCACAAAGCACUCCCGGUCAAUGUCAAGCAGGGUACAGAGUUCAAGAACAUGGAACUAUGAGCAAAGAAGAAUAUUUUCGAGUGUUAGAUGAGGUGAAGGCGAAAGAACUUGAUAAAGAAACAAGCGUUCCUGAUGGAGAUACAUCUUGUCUAGCAACAUGUACAACGAGUGACAUAGAGGAUGAUAUUUUGAAGGGUUCUUAUUCAUAUGAGGCAGAGGAGGGUGGAGAUGAUAGAAAUGGAGCUCUGACGUCCUGUGUUGGAACUCGAUGGUUCCGAGCCCCAGAACUACUCUAUGGAUCCACAGACUAUGGUUUAGAGAUAGAUCUAUGGUCAUUAGGCUGCAUUUUUGCAGAGCUUUUGACGCUGGAGCCACUUUUUCCUGGAACUGCUGAUAUUGAUCAGCUCAGCAGAAUCAUCACUGUCCUGGGAAACUUAACUGAGGAGGUGUGGCCUGGUUGUGUUAAACUUCCUGAUUACAGGAUAAUAUCAUUUAAUAAAGUAGAAAAUCCAGUCGGUAUAGAGGCCUGCCUGCGAAACCGUUCCCCCGAUGAAGUCUCCCUGGUGAAGAAACUUAUUUGUUAUGACCCAACUCGGAGAGCUACGACCAUGGAACUGCUUCAAGACAAGUAUUUCAAUGAAGAGCCUCUUCCAGUUCCUCUAUCUGAGCUGCACGUCCCUCCCACCAAAGAUAUGAGUUCUGACUCUCCUGGUGGCUGGCAAGAUUACGAAGAUAUGGGUACAGACUCUGAUUUUGACGACUUUGCCCAUGUGAAUAAGACUACCACUUCAACUGGUUCAUACAUUCAGUUUUCCUGAGUUCAAAGGAUAACGGUGAUACCAAUUGUUCUUGUUAUUGUUAUUUAUUGCUUGGAAGCUUUUAGGGAAUCAAAAGUAUGGUUUCUUCAAAUUUCAGCCUUGUUCGAGUGAAGUAUUAUUAGGAGAAACUCUCCCAUGUGAUGGCUAGUUGUAAAACUCUUCACCCCCAGAAUUUUGAAUGUCUUUUUUUUUUCUUCUACCCUCCUAUUUAAAAUUGUUGGAACUUAUAACAGUUGUAUUAAUCAGCGGCCCAAGAUUUUAAAAAUAAAUCCAGAGUGUUUACUCACUUUCCACUUGUUUGUAGACUUGUAUCUAUAAAUCCCGAUCCCCUCUUUUUGCAAUCCUGAAGCCAAGCUCUAUCCCCUCUUUUUGAAAUCUAUGCAAGGUGGAAGAUUUCAAAAUCAAAUGGAGAACAAUCAAUCUUCCUUUCUUUUUGGGUUGAAAGCAACAACAAUGGAUCUUUCAAAAAAAAACCUCAAAGGAAAAAAAAGCGUAUCAGGAUGACACAACCUACAAUUGCAGCAAUUAACCCACAUCAGUUCUUAUCUCAAAGAUUGCAUUGAAUUGAAGUAUAACUUCGACUCCUUUAUCUCAGACAGCACGGACUGAUCAAAACAAAAAUACCCUGAAGAUAAUUUGUUGAAUUGGAUAGAUUAUUGGAAAACGUCUUAGAACCCAGCACAUGCUACACAGGAGUUGCUGAGGUCCUCAAGACGCACAUAAAAAACACAAGCACUAUCAAAAGGAAGACAGUAGUUUUCAAAUCUAUAAGCAAUGCUGCUAGAAUACGAUAUAACCAUACUUUUCCUUUUUCUUUCAAGUAAAAGAAGUAUCUCCUUAAAAGUGAAGUUCGCAAAACCACCGAGGUUUAUUUUUCCAUUCAACAAAUAAACAAGAGUACAAGUUCAUAUAGAAGAAAGAAAAACAAAGAAACAAAAACUAAAGAUCUAUAGCCGGCUUACCGCACCGGCUGUUGAUUGUAGUGGUUCUUCUCUUUUUUCUUUGCUGCAGCUAGCCUUGCAUUCCUAGCAGCAGCUUCACUCGCAGCAGCUCGGGCAGCUGCAUCCAUUUCUUUGCUUGAUUUCUUCUUCUUCAUAGAUGCCACUUUCUUUAGCCGCUCUUUAACAUCACCAGCAGAUGUAUUUUCUCCCUUAUCUGUCCCAGCAUCUUCAUCUGCUGCCGCAACAUCGAUGCCAUCAGGCUGGUCCGGGGAUUCUUUUGGCUCCUUCAAUGACUUAUCCUUCUUUUUCUUCUUUUUUGCACUUUUGCUCUCCCCGGUGGCAUUCUCCUUCUUGUCUACCUCGCCAUUUAGAUUCUCUACCUUCUUCUCUUGUGCAAUACCUGCAGAGAGAGGUAGGGGAAAAUUCAGCCCAUGUAAGAAAUAACAAAAAUCGAACUGAUCAAAUAUGAUGAAAGUUGCAAGAGUACAUGGAUCAUUAUUCCUUGGAAGAGAUCAAAUUUGAUGAAAAGCCCAAUAAAUGAACGUAAGACAGAGGAGGGCAUAAAUUAGUUUUCCAACCUACUUCUUAACUGGCCAAUUAUCAUAUAUAAAGAUAAGGUACGUGGUUGAUGUUUAGCAUAGUAUUUAAGCUUCCGGAAGUCAAAACUCAUUUUGAAAUAAUGUUAUGAAAAAAAAAUCAGACGAUACAUACACAAUUACUAAACAAGAACUGGCAUGCAUAAUCAUAUUCAUAUAAGCAAAAUUACCACUGGAAUCAUCUUGGCCACCGGUCUCGCUUUUGGCACCGUAUCCUAGCUCUGCAAGAACAGCUUCAAGUUCUUCAAGCCCCUUUUUCUUCAGUUCCUUCUUAGAAAGCUGCCUUUCAGUAUCCUUAGGAGCUGGAGAAGCUUCAAGGGGCUUCUUAAGUGGCUCAGUUUCCACUGGUGCUUCAAGUUCAUUUUCAUGUUCCUCGUCGACAUCAUCAACUUCAUCAAGUCCUUCCUCCUCGCUUUCACUUACCUGGAAUCCAGGAUAAAUAUAAGAAUUAAACAAUCCAACCAGAGGAAUAGUACUCACUCAAAUGCUUUAGGAUAUUCAAAAGUACAACAUCGACAUCUCAGGUUUAAAGACUGAUGGAGUUAGUUGACUUUACGAAAAGAUAAAUGAUUGUUACAUUAAGUUAAUAGAGAAGCAUAUGUACCCUUAGAAGAACACACCCACACGCACACAUUCCAGUUUACAGUUAUCUACUUGAUUUUCUUUGGCUAUAUCUGGGAUACACACUGAGUUUUCACAAUGAAACCAUACAAGCUACUUGCAAACCUAUCACUUUGCCUUAUAAAAAUAAGUUUUCAUAACAGAAAUCAAUUUAUUAUAUUACCAUAAUGAAAGCAACAAAAGAUAAAUUUCAUUGCAUCCACUACAGAAGGAGAAUCAUUUCCACGAGAUGCAAGUAGACGCGUGGGUGAAGUUUCUGUCUCACGACAAUGUACACAUGUUGAAAGGAAACUGGUCAUGGAUAGGCCAGAGAUACCAACAAAGGAUAUAGCUAUUUUCUAACAGAAUAAUGGCAAUUCAAUUCCAUGAAAUGCAGGUACACGUGCAGGUGAGGUUUCUGUCUCAUUACAAUCUAUACGUGCUGAAAGGAAACCGAUCAUGGAUAAGCCAUGGAUUCCGACAAAGGAUAUAGCUAUUUUCUAACAGAAUAAUGGCAAUUCAAUUCUAACAAGUCAAGGUGGCAAAAAGACAAAAUCAAAUGUCUCCACAAAAGCCACCAAAACCAAGUCAUAACAUCAAAGAUGCAUAACUUAACACGUGCACACAAAACUGAGUAGCUGAUAAGCCUUUACAGGUAAUGCAAUAACGUUUGGACUCUAAAAUAUUCGCAUCUACUACCGUUAGAUGAAAUGAUUGAAAGAAUGAUACAAACUAGAUAAGGAUUCCACAAAAUCAACAGAUAUGAAUAUCAAUAAAUUCCAUAACUCCUACCAAAUGUUAUCAUCAAAAUCCUUUCAGUAAUCAUCAUCUUAAUCAUUCCAAAAGUAGAAAAAAACAACCAAAUGUAAUUGCUUCGGCAAACGUCAGUGAUAUUUCACAGUUCCUAUGACUUUUUUUCCUCAUUAAAUCUCCAUAUGUGUUGUCAUGUCAAUUUGCAAAUACCAAUUAAACAAAACUAAGCAAAAAAGCACCUCCUUUUACAGCUGCAUCAUGAAAAGGACCGAUCAUUUCCUAUAACAGAAACAGAUACAUUCCCACACAAAUGCAAUGCAUGCUUUCCAAGUUUAGCAAUAUCAAAAUUAAGAUCACGAUGCAAAAAAAUGGCCAAAAAAAUAUACCAGUUCACCGACUUCCACAUGCUCAGCUUCAUGCUCAGUCUCCUUGGCCACCUUUGAAUCCUCACCAGCCCAGCCCAAUUCGGGCGGAGCUGUAGUUGCAUAGUAGUCGUCCUCGUCCUCGUCAUCGACAUCGGCCCACGAUUUCACGUUGAGGGGCGCAGGGGCCCAAAACACCUCUUUUUCGGCCUCCUCAGGAUUCUGAGCUGUGCCGCUUUUCGAGCUCUUGGAGGAACCCUUCUCGGACUUCUUCUUCUUCUUCAAGCUCCCGAGCGCCGCAAACACGUUGGUGCUAUUCAGAACCACAGACUCGUCCUUUCGGUUCCCGCCUCCCACCAUUUCUUAAUCCAGCGUAAGUCUAGACUUACCGCGCGUUGCCAAACAGCAGGUUUUUUGAAGUUACGGUUUCGUGACGAAGCUCAGGCGCGAGCUGGAGGGUAAAAUCGGAAAUGGGAGAGGGAAAAGAUUAGGGUUUGGGAGAAUUUUGAUUCUCAGAUUGCUGUUGAGGUUGGUGAGGAUCUGAGAACGGGAGAGCUGAAAUGAAACGAAUCGUUUUGGUGAACUCGGGUGACGAGUGAAGAGGGUUAGCAGAGUCUCCUCUGCGAGACAGCGAGAAAAACCCUGCGAGGCUUUCGUGACGACGAGUGAGGAGGAGGAGGAGGUGGCUUUGCGUAUGUGUGAAAAAUGUUGCGCUGGUUGAGUUUUUCAACCAACAUUACAUGGCAAGGGUGUGUGAAUCGGUGAUGGUCUUAUAAAAGAAAAAAAAAAAAAAAAUCUAAUUCUGGGCUGUGGAUGUGGGUGAAGCCUGGGCGUCGGAUAUGUCCGUGACCAAGAUUUUGAUGGGCGGUCAUGAUGGUUUGGUUUGGCGUGGGGCCCAGUGGGCUGGCAUUUUUUUUAUUGCGGAGGAUUUUUCAUGUGUGGAGAGAGAGGCCAGGAUAAGUGCCAUCUGGCGUGGCUUCAAUGCAGAUGAUUGGGACCCACUUGUUGUAACUGAUCCAUAAGGACUCGUUUGUUACACCUUCUAAACUUUGUACCAAACAAGCUCUUCAUAGUCCAUGCCAAAACAGUAACACAAAAGUCGGUUGAGAAAAGUUUAAUGUUUUUCAAUUCAUUCUCCGAAAAUGAAAGAUUACAAUUAAAGAUAUGGCUUUCCUUUUCAAAUUUAUUCUUUGAAAAUGAAAUUUAUAAUUAAGAUAUGGCAUUCAUGUCCGUAUUUACAUUGUUUCUCAGUUAACGUAAUGAAACUUGAAUUUAGAAUCUCUUCCGAAGCUAGAAAGAAAAAUACUAGUGCUUUCGGACCAAGUAUUAGUUGGUUUGAAGGUCAAACCAAGUUCAACACAACAUAUUCAAGUCUAAAAUAUGAAUUCAACAUGAUCGAGUCCAAGUAAAUCUUAACCUAAAUCAAUCCACUCUAAAUUUUGUGAGCUUGAAUUGAUUGAGGUGAUGAGCUUCUACAUAACUGACCAAUAGUGACAAACUUGCUAUUAGAAAGAAGCAGAGUAUAAACGAAAAUGAAAACUUGCUUGCUAGACCCAGAACUAGAAAAUUCAGAAGGAAUCAAUUAUCAUUUUCAGCUGAAAAGGAUACAAUCUGUUCAAAUUCAAGUAGAAAAUUUAAAUCGAAUUACAAAGACCAAAAUAAGUUGAAAUGGAAGUGAAAUCAAGAUGAAGCAAGGGGUGCAUUGUCAAACGUUGUCCCGACAUGUUGAAUAACAAAUCCAUAGAUCUUCCUCUUCAGCCUGUCAAUCUUUUCAUUAAUUUGCUCAUCCCUCUUUGACACAACUCGGUCCAACCACUCAUUCACUCGUUUCAACUGUGAUAAAACAGCUGCAAUGGAGCCAGAGUCGAGAGGCAAUUUAACACCAUCUGCGGCACACUCUCCAAACACCCGAAAACCGGCAUCCAGGGCCUUCUCAACGAACUCUAGAAACCACAUUUGCAUCUCGGACUGCAGACUCAUUGCAAGCUCAACAGUAUCUUUCAUGCCACGACCCUUUGUCCACGUCCCAACAUGAGCACUGGAUUCUGGUGAAGAAGAUGAAGAAGAAAUCUUCAUAUGGGUUUUGGCAGGUGCAUUGAGAGAUUGUCGUUUUGACAAACUUUUCUGCAAGGUUGAUGGAGGCUCAUUGUCUUGGGUGGUAAGAAGAGAGACAACCCCAAGAUCAGUAGCUAAGGCAGCUUCAACCCAAAGAGAAACAGAUUUUGAUUGCUCCGUUGGAAAGUUGUCAUUAUAAGGUGUAUCAGCAUUGUGGUUGCUGGCAAUUGAUUGAACAAGUGUUGUUGAUUUAACAACUUCAUCGUAGAUUGAAAAGAACCGGUCAAUGGCGGGCAAAGGGUUCCCAACCUUGGAUGUGGAAGAUAGUUCUGCGAACAUGCUGAGAUAGACAAAGGAGAAUAAAAUUCAAGUUCACAUCAGUCACUAGUGAUGAAUGGUGAUUAUACAGCAAAUGCAAUCUCUUCCAUGAAUUCAAAGGCACACCAUCGCAAUGAUCAUAUUACCUUAAUUUCCUCACAAGAGAUUCGGUAGCAAUGGCCUCCUCCAGAGCUUCAGCUGCAGCAGCAGAUGCAAUAACUUUCCUUUGCAAAGCCUCCUGCAAUUAGAUAGCGUUUUGAAUUAAUUCAUAUCAAUAACUUAAUCCUUCUGUUUCAAUGACAAAAUUUAUGUCUAAUUAAUGCAUCUUAUGCUCAAUAAAUUCCAAGAUUAAAACCCCGCCAUUACCUUUCCAAGCCUUGCAAGGUCUGAAGAGACUGCAUCAAGUGAAACACUCCCAUCGGUCCAUUUUCUUUCAUGAACAGUGAUGCCCAGAGCUGUACAGCUUGGUUUCUCUUGAGCCAGGCAAUCUUCAGGUGACCCAGAUUUUGUUUUCUCAUCGCUAGAAGAAUCAUCACCGCCACUAGGACUUCGACCAUGAGCAUCGCUCAAUCGUCUCGAAAGGGCAGCCUGCAAAGAUAGAAAGAAUGAGGAAAUCAGAAUAUGCAGAGCCAUAAGCAAAAUAUUAUAAACAUGUCAUUGCAAAGCAAGUUAAGGAAAAAACUACCUGAGUCCUUAAAAUUGCUUGAAAAUCUGGUUUGUUCUUGGACACAGACUUCUCUCUUUGCUCCACUGCCGGUGACUCAUCCCAGCCCUUCCUGUGACUCUUUCCAGACCCAACAAGGGCUUCAGAAACCUUAGAAAUCCCUGCAACAAUAGUUGCCAUCUUCUUCCUGGUAGCUGAGUCUUUCACUCCCCCAGACAACCGUCUACCGGGAGAAAGCGAAGCCCUGCGGGGAUUCGGAGAUGGCUGCCUCCGCCCAGUUGGAGACGGCUGCCGGUACCUGGACGGUACUAUAAUCGCAGGCUCCUUAGACACCUUGCGGUUCUCUUCCUUUGCCACAACUAAGCUCGGAACCACGCAUUUUGAAGGCGCCGGAGAUCCUGAUCUCUUUCCUUUUCCCGCGGGUGACGGAUCUCUCUCCGCGGGCGCCACAUUCUUCUUCCCAACGGAAACCGACCUCUUUGCACCGGCCGGAGAUGAAAACCUUGAAGCCGGCCGAUCUGAGAUCUUCUUAGGCUCAUCCGAAUUUGAAUUUGAAUUGGAAUUCCCACCCAAAUUCACGUUGUCUCGAGGAGCAAGAGGCUGCCUCGAUGAUCUUGUCUUCUCAAUCUUGGCGUCCUUGUUGUCAUUCCUAACAACUUGCUCCUGCUUCUUAUUGGAUAAGUAAAUCGCCAUGAAAUCGGUGGACUGGUCGGAAUCCGACACGGGCUGGAUCACAAACUCUCGUUUUGAGGCGGAGAUUCGAGCAACGAGAGGCUCUGGGGUACCGACGAAAUGGUGGCGGCCGGCAAUGGGGCGGAUUCCGACAACGCGAGGAACAGGGGAGUCGAAAUCGAAACGGUCAACGUAGGCGAACUGGCCGAGCUGCAACCGGUUGGUGAGGAUGAGGUCGGUGUCACGAUCUGAGAGGGAGACGUAGGUGGAGUUGAGGGAGUCGGAGAGCUGAACAUAGAAGCCCUGGUUAGGCCAGAGCUCUGAGCCGGCGAGAGCAGGGACGAUGCCGAUAACUUGGAGGAGAGCCGAACGGUGGUCGCCGGUGACUUUGGUGGCGGAGUUCAUUGACUGGAGAAGCUUCAGGAGGAUCCCUGGUGUGAGGGACGCCAUUGUUGAGCAGCUCUGUGCUUUGUGUGUGUGUGGGCGUGGGUGGGUGAUGAAGAAGACUCAGAGAGGAGAGAAGAAUAUAGAUGGAGAGGUUUGAGUGUAUGUGUGAGAAAGAGCAUUGGCUACUGAAAAGUGGGACCCAGUAGCUCAUUUGGCCGUUACGAGAUUUCAAAUUCAAAUUCCCGCUAACUGUUUAAUAUUACUAUUACCAUUGUUUGAAUUUAGGUGCUACGUUACCGUUACGUUAUCCCUUCCCUGUCUAUCCAUCCCAAUUGAAAAAAAAAAAAAAAAAAAAAAAAAAAGUUAGAGAAAUAGAGAAAGGUUAACUUCCAGUAGCAAAAUCCCACGUCAUAUGGUUCCAAUCCCAAACUUUUCAUUUGACAUUAAAUCGAAAUCAUUUUUGUCUCUUUACUUUCCCACACUUCCAUUCAACAUUAACAAUCUGAGCCAAAAAUAUUUUGUAUAUACUAAUACUAGAUGCCUGUGAAUUGUGAAGUCAAAUGUUUCAUAAGCGCAUAAAUCUGUUUGAUUUGGAACAAUAUUACAAUGCACAACAGAUAGCCGCCGGAGCUCUACUUUAAAUAAUGCGGAGAGGCAGGAAGCAAGUGCUCCAAUGGGAUGUUGAGUCAGUCUGCAAUAAAAACUGCACACAAUAUACAGUAUGCAGCUACAACUCAGGUCCACAUACAAACAAUCGUUCGCGAAGAGUGAAAAUUUGGAUGCAUGAUUCUCGUUGCGUGCAACGUAUGUAGGGAAGUUGAUUUCCUUAAGGUGGUGCAGAGUGGUAACUGCAACUCUAAUGAGCUAACCCCAUUCAUUGUCAUGAUUAUUUUCAAAACUACAUGUUCACUAAUCAGGAAUACAAUGUAAUCCAAGAAAAAUUGUCAAAAAUACUUUACACUUCCUAUCACAAUUCACAUGUAGUCCAUACAUGCCAACUUUCAUAUUUCAAAUAACAGAAAAUACAAAGGAAAAUAUCGCUUUGUUACUUUCCUUUGCUUUGUAUAAUUUUUACUCAUCCUUAUGCCGCAAAAAAUAAGAAAAAUAUAAGAAAUACAAUAAGUACAAAGAAUAUCUUGAUCAUUAGCCAUCGGUUGGAUGAUAUACUGUUAAAGUACCUGGCCAGUUGCCCUUGUGCUCCUUCCACAUUGGCCAGUGUGUCGUCCAUAUUCUCAUCAAUCCUGCCAGCCACAGCCCCAAUAUUGAGUAUUUAACCAAAAAAUUAUUCUACACGCUUGUGUUUUCUGUUAGUGAUGAAAGGUGAACCCAUCCAAGUACUUUAACAUGACUGCUAAACAAACCUGAUUGCAAGCUCUCCUUGCUGAGAAACCAUGGUUGCCAAUUGUGUGAAUAUGCCACCCAGCUCAUGAAUUGUUGACUCCACGUUAUGAAGAGCUUCAGCUCGGCUCUGCAUAUAGCUGUCUUGUUGUUCUACCUGUUGUUGCUGCUGUUGCAGUAAUGGCUGAGAUUCCAUCUCUGUCUGCUUCCUGAAGGAAAUAUGAAACAAUGCCAUUGACAUCUAAAUUGAAGUCGUGGAUCUAGGAUAUAUGAUUCACUACAGGCAGCAUUAGGAAGAUGACAGCACUAUUUCUCUCCAAGUUCCAAAAUGAAAGGGAGCAAUCAAAAGGUUCCGUGUAACAAGUACACUGCUUAGCCAGUCAUGGUUAACGAUGGGAUUAAUAUAGCACCGGAAGUUAUAAAAAGAACAAUAGGCAUGUAUUUGAGGCUGAGGCUCCUAAUAAGAACUUGCCUUUAGAAUAUAACAAUAUGGUUACAAUAACUACUUCUGUAAAACAUGCUGAUGCCUAGUGUAGUGGAAAUUUACCUAGGAAAUAACUGUGACGAAGAAGACGCAGAAUCAUUGGCCCAUGGAGGAGGAUCUUCCGAUGCAUUAGCAGCUGAUCUGGCAGCAACUGGACGUUGGCGAACAAAUGGAUUUGUUGACUCUUUUGAAGUGCUUGAAGAAAACAAUUGCCUCCUAUUUUCAUGAACCUUUAAAUUCUGCCAUAUAUAAACAAGAAACGUUGAACUUCGUAUUCUAGUCAAAUAAUAAAGCUCAUCAGACAACCAUGUGCAGGGACAUACAAUAUACCUCUGUCCGCAUGGUGAGCACUUCUUUAAACUCUUUCGUGGUGCUCAUUAGUCGGUUCUUCAGGUUAUCCACAACCGUAGUUGAAUGAUUUGUGGUGUCACUCGAGAUGUUUCCACUUUCAUUUUGGGAAUUGCAGGCCAGCUGCAGAUCUAUCACUGCUGAAUUAAGUCCAGUAAUAUCUUGCUUUAUAGCUGAUGUCAGCUCUUGGAUCUCCAGAGCUGGAUCAUCAAACACUGAUGUCCUUUUUGCCACUGGAAAAUAUCAAAGCAAUACUUGUGUUUCAACAUGGGUCGCUCCAAAUAUCAGCAAGGCUCUCCAUUUAUGUAAACAAAUCACAAAACAAUACUAAAUUAUUGAACAUCAAUAUUUAAAGACUAGAUACCCCCAUUGUUAUACAACCAUGAAAUACUGGGUCAUUCAUAUUCUAAUUCCAUCACAAACCUUUGCUUAGCAUCCUGUCUCAGCAUAAUUAAUUAACACUAAUCAAAGCAUAUAUGUAUAAAGAACAAUUACAGAUCAAAAUUUACAAAUCCAUUUUGACAGUGUGAUCUCUAAAACACCAAACAAAACCAAUUAACUUGUAUAAUUUAACAUAAUCAGAGAUUAAGGAAAAUUUUGGCAAAUAGCAUAGAUUUUACAUACAUUGUGCGAGCUUGGUGAGCAUGCGGGAAGUGUGGUGAAUCCCAAGCCCAAUCUUGGAGGCCCUUUUGUUGAACUCCGAUUGAAUCGAAGCCGCAGAUCGAGAUCCGUCGAUCUUCGCGCCACUAUUGCUACUCGAUGCUGGGCCAUCGUUGGCUGGCGUCGAGAAGGAGGACUUUCGAUGCCUCUCUGUUAUGCUCAGAAACUCCUGCGUUCGAUCUCGGAAGGACGAUUGCCCCGAUUUUCCAUGCAUUUCUAUACUUUUAUUCACUGAUUUGUAACAAAAUUUAUAAUGAAAAAGAAAUUUUUUGUACAAAUUCUAUUUCAACGCUCUGUUAUGCUCAGAAACUCUGUAUUAUAUUAUGGAAUGGAAUUGAUGAAAUUAGAUGCAAAGAUUGGGUACUCUGAAACACAGGAGGCCCUUGAAUUGGAUCACGGUGGUGAAAAUUUUCGCACUUUUUUAUUGAAGGAGGUUUUUCUUUUUUCUUUUGGGCAAAAUUUUUAUUAAAUGAGAGAGAAGGAAAGGAAAUGGGUGAAAAACAGUAAAUAAAGUUCAGUCUUAUUUUUUACUUUUUUAUUGGUGGCCCUCAUUGCAGAUAGAACAUAGGAAGUCCAAUAGCAACAAGAAGCUAAGGCCCAGGAGCAAUUUAGUUCGACCCACUCCACUCUACUCUGUCUCUCUCGAGUAAUUCUUGAGUGUGACCGUUGCAAGAUGUUACAAUUCACUCAUGAUAUGAUGCAUGUAAUUAUCUAUUAAUAAUAGGGAUAUUCUCAGAUUGGGAAAGUACCUACAAUAUCACUUGCCCGUAUAUAACACGUGAUGGUGUGACAAUCGCAUUCAACUAUUUUACGUCUCUCCCAUUUGUGUGAUACUGUAGGUAUAGGAAUAGGAUCAAGCAACUCCAAAGCCAUAGGAAUAUCACUUAAGAUUUAAACAUAUGAAUUACUGCAAUGCAUUAUCAACAUUAGAGAAAGAAUUUAAGAAAGAAAUGAGCAAAAAAUUUCAACUUGGGAUUGGGAACCAUGGAUUAUGCCAGAACAAUCUGCUUUACAAGGUGUAAGCUAUCAUACUAUAACAUGUUUGAUGUUUUGCUAUAGCUAGGUUUCAUGGCUUCCUAAAGAGCUUAUGUCAUAGCAGAACCAAAUACAACAGAUAUCCUCCAACAAUUUUCAUCACCAUGUGUGCAAGGCCACUGCUAGGCAACACUGAAGGACCACCAUAAGAAAUCAUCACUGGAAACUGGCAGUCCCCAACAGACGGAUUUUCAUCAGUCACCACAGCCAAACCAGAGAAAUCACACGUCCAGCUUUUCUGGCUAUUCACCUGGUAAUACAUGUUAAAUGCAUAAGAAGCAUUUCCCCGGAGGCUGAGGUUAUUGCAAGAACACCCAUAACCCAAAGCAGUACAAUCUGAGAGGGUACAAGCAUAGUCAAUGCUUUUUACCAAGACCUCCAAAUCUUUAGCAUCUUUGUCCAAAACACACCACCUCUUCAGCAUAUAGUCUACAUCUUCCACAGCUGCAAGGCCUUUAUUUUCAAGAGAGCCUGUCAAAUCCAAAUUAUACUUUGGCUUCCCAUCAUACUCAAAUAGCCCCCAGUGCCUUUCAAAGUUUCCAGGAGCAAUGCUUUUCGCAUCUUCAUCGAUGAGGCUGAAUAGAUAGACAUCAAUUUUUCCUUUCCUUGCUGGGGUUCCAUUUCCACUCAGGGAAUGUUGAAUCAUUCCCUGGUUAAACCUCCUGGCAUUUCUUAUAUUGGCAUUUAUGUCACCAUCAGUUGGCCAGCCCACCUCUCCAACCAUGAUCUUCAUCUCAGGGAACCCAGCUUUGGUCAGAGACCAAACGAGCGUGUCAAAGUUUGCGUCAAACACAUUGGUGUACAGUAGAUCACCAUCCUUCAUGGGCUUGGUUGUUCCAUCAAAGAAAGCAAAUCCAAAAGGAAAAUAUGUAUUGCCAUAGAGACUGAGAAAAGGAUAGAUAUUGACUGUGAAUGGAGCAUCAUUGGUAUGUAGGUAUUGGAUGAUCUCAAUUAAGGAGUCUCGAAUUUCAGGCCUGAAGUCUCCUGUAGAUGGAACUGGGUCUGAGUCAGGGGAGAAGUAGAUGUCGGCGUUGAAGGGGACGGUGGCUUUGACUUGUGACCCAAGUCCUGCAUUGUUGAGGGCUUCUUGGAUGUUCUUCAGAGCUGGUAAUGUGGUUUUUAGAUAGGUGCCAUUGUAUGUUUUAAGGAAGGGUUCAUUGCCUACAGAAACAUACCUGCAAACUCAAUUGUCAUAAUAAUUUUAGCAUGUUCAAGGAAUUCCUUAACAUCAUUCAGACAUAAUUGGAAACAGGUAACAGUCAUAGUAACAGUUAAAAGAAGAGAGAUAGAAAGCAAGGAGAACAAGCAACACCUCCAGAAUCAUGGGGGGAAAGAAAUGAACUUCCCCAUGAUUUUACAGAAAUUGAAGAUAAUCAACUGACAGGGUUUUGACUUUUGAGAGUGAGAAAAAAUGAACCACUUAGGAACAUAAUGGCAUAAAAAGAAAGAAUAAGAAUACAAACACAUUGCAAAAAUGGGUUGAAAAUUAAUCAAGAAAUUGUGUGACUCAACUUGAUAUUGACUCCACCAUUGGAGCAGUAACUGGUGACAUUGGCAUCGACCCAAGUAGCUGCAGCAACAGGAUCUUGGCUCAUCUCUUGCAACAUGACAUUGGGUACGGCCAGCAUCACCUCAAUCUGCGUCCCCAUAAGAGCAGCUAAUAUUUUCUCUUCAGCUUCGAACAACUUGAGUUUAUUGAACCCAUUAUCCUUCAGCAUUUUGACCACCUUUUCUGGUGGGAGCUGGUGUGUUGCCAUUGUUCCCCAAUUGACCCCAAAGCUCGUGCCUUUUUGGGCCAUGUUCAUCAACACCAGAAUUAGUACUAUUUCCCAAUAGACUCUUUCUUGUGCCAUUCUCAUUUUCUUUGGAGCUAAUCUUAAAUUUUUUUUUUAAUUCUUCUUGAAUCUGAAUCUUUUUUGAAUGAAGCAAAGAAUCAAGAAAGAUUUGAGGGCUCCAAUGAUUGAGGGACGCAGGGAGGGAAGAGAAAGGAAGAGGGGAAUUCUUUUGGUUCUUUGUUCAACAAUAUAUAGAGUGCAAAGUGAGUCUCUCUCUCUCUCUCUCUCUCUCUCUCUCUCUCUCUCUCUCUCUCUCUCUCUCAGGAAUUUCAGUGUUAGGCUUUAGAGAACUUUGAUGGGAAAAGCAAAAAAGAAAUGGAAGAUUCGUUCCUUAAUUCAGUUAUUCAGUUAUGGUGGCCAGCCCAUGCUAAUUGUUUUCCAACUGAAUAAUAUUAUUAUUCAAAUUAAUCUUAAUAUGAAAAAUAUUAUGUUUGCCCUGUCCAAAAAGGAAAAUGCCAACUUUGGGAAGGGAAAUGGGAACAUGAAGACUUAUCCAAGACCAAGACCAAGGAGCAAAGAUAGUGAGUGACCAUCCAUGAGAAGAAAACCAUUGACUGAUCUUUUAAGCAAACUUAAAGAGAAUACUCCAAAAUGCCAACUUUCCAGCCAAAACCUACGUGUUCAUUUUUUCAUCAAUUUGCAGGCUCCUCCUUUGCGUUUGCUUUUAUUACGUGAAAGUUUAACACUUUAUCGUCGCAGAAAAAGGGAUAGCUAGCAUUAAGUGCCAUUCCAAAGAAAAAGGAUGUCUUUUAGUUUUUCUUAUCAGGAAAAUGCUACAUUCACGCAAGGUACUACAACUUCCCCGAUACCUCCGUCGUCGCAGGUUCCACACGUAGGAGUUUAGGGCCUGCGCUGGGGACACUUCAAGUCUACGGAUGGAGUUCAAAAUGACAUUUUAAUGUUGAAGUUUCCAAGGGAUGGGCACAAUUUGAAUUUGUUAGGGCAAUGCCAAUGGGAAGCAUAUUCUUCCCCUUCAUCCUAAACCCUACAUACACAAAAGGUGAAAGAUUGCUUGUGAAUUACUCAGAUUUUGUUGCCUCCCUUGUCCCUACAGCUUCAGUCUUUGAGACCAGUCGUAUAAAAUGAAAGGAAAGUGCCUCUUUUUCUUUUUCCUUCUUCUUUUAAUUAGAAGUUGUACUAAAUUAUGAUCUAGAAACUUACACGAAAAUUAUGUGCUUUAGUCAUGCGUAACAAUAACACACACUAACUACUGUCCUCAUGCACAAACCAUGAAAUUAAAGGAGCGUUCUUAACCACUCAAAUCAUAAACCCCUUGCCAGAUCUGUUCUUUUUGUUUCACACGGUGGUUUUAAAAAAAAGCACUCAAAACCUGGUACAAUCAAAAGAUAUGAAGGCUACGACUGUCAUACUGACUUUUCACAGAUCAGAUUUUGGUGAUAUGCCCUGAUCAACCAAUACAGUACACAGAUUGUAUGCAAAAAUUACUGAACGAUGAAAAUUUUGAAACUUAAUUGUUACAUUUUUCAGAAGCAAGUCCAUUUCAUCUACCACCGUCAACAUGAUUUGCAAUUUUUGCAAAAUGGAAGGUUUCAAGUGCUUUAACAGACAGCAGUUGCUCAUAUAGUGCAGGGGAUUGGCUUUCUAAGCUCUCAAAAGAAAGAGGCCCAUUCGCGCAACUCCCUCUCUGUCAGCAGAAUGAGAGACAGUGGCAUCUUAAAUAAGGCACCCUUCUGGCAGCCUAAAGCUUAAGCAAAACAUUGCCUGUGAGAUAAGUUGAAAGAUCAGAAGACUUCAAGACAGUAAGUAUAUUUGUAUAUAUCCACUAUAAGCAUAUUUGUAUAUAUCCACUGUAAAUAGUUCCAAAUGUUAAUACCUUGUUUGGAGCGACAUCCCUAACCCUAUGAAAUAUUGGAUCUUUUAUAUGGGCAUUCAAACCGGACUCUGCCACCUGCAUAUAGUUGGAAACACAGGUUAUGUGAGCGCAAAGGUGUUAGAAGAACUGGAACAUGUAUACAGCGGACUACUACACUGGCUCAUUAGGGAAAAGGUCAAUUUUGAUCAAUCAAAAGCCAAGUGCCUACACUACCAGUACACGUCAAAGACCUUAGAGACAUUACCAAUUAAAGGACUUGUGUAAUUAUCAGAAGCUUUUAGUUAGAUUUAAUAGCCAUACAGAUAAAACUUACUGAAAUAAUAUAUUCUUGCGUUUCAAUGGCCCUUAUGAAGCAAUAGCAGUGAAUCCAAGGAAGAGACCCCGUCCAAUACUUUCUCUGGAUCAGACCUCUAAAUGCAUCUGAAUGAAAAUGUGUGCAGAUAUUAAAAGCAAAUUCACUUGUCUUACUUCUACUAUUUGGUUCAAGCAGAUAUUUACUGAGGCAAUGGUAUUUGUAGUCAAACAAAAAAGGAUGUAAAUCCCAAGGGGUAUAGAUAAUCAGAUUCAAAACUAUCCACAAAAGGCAUCUGUACCUAGAAAUUGAAGAGCAGAAGCAGGUAGAUUCAUUAUCACAUGAUCAACAUGCUCCCAAGUCUUAACAUUGGAGAUCUCAGGGCCUCUCAUUCUCUUAGUCUUGCUUCCUUUUCUCCUACCAGCUACAAAUGCACUAGUGCCAUCAACACUUUCAUUCUCUGCAAAGGGAAAUGCAAGGGAAUUAACUUAGCAAUCCCAACCAAAAUAUAUAUCAAUCAAAAUGACAUUGUACAUGCAAUUAUUGUUGGAGAGGAAGGAAAAUCAGGUAUGCAUCUAACACCAACAAUAAGGAUACUUAAACCUUAUAAAUAAAACAGGAAGCAGUAAUGAUUGCAUCAACUUCAGUGAUGACCAAACACAUAUUUGUGGUGACCAUGAUACCUGAUUGACAGCUAUCUGAAGGUCUUUUAACUGGAGGUACUGAUGAAUCAGCAUUCCUGCUUGAAGCUUGUAAAGCGUCCCGAUUACUAAUAACAGUAUCUGGUACUUCUUUCACCUCAACUGUGAGAAACCGAAGAUUAAGAAGGUCACAAGUAACGAUUCACGCAAACUGAAAGAUCACAAUAUUUUCACAUGUAAAUUACCAGCUAGCCUUCCAUUUUCAGAUUUUGGUUCCUGAUUGCCCUGAACGUUACAUUUCUCACCAGUCUUCAGCAUGGAGAUAUCAGAAUCUGAUUUUUCAUCGCUGUUGGGCACUGUCAUCAAUUGAGAAAUAAAUUUUCUUGCAUCAAUAUUGUACGCACGAACACGAUUAUCAACCUUGUUAGUUUCUGCAUUGAUCUUCAGAUAACGGAUGCUAUCCGGAUUUAAGUCAUUUGCAUACACUAUGCAUCCCUUCUGUGCUGCAGGGAUAGCAAAAGGACCAAUACCUGCAAACAUGUCACAUAUGAUUUCCCCAGCUCGAAACUGAGAAACCAACCUGAUAUGUUCAUGCUCCAAUCUUGAAUUCCAAUAGACCAAGCUGUAAUCAAGCUUGAAAGUCGCUCCAUAUUGUUUCACUUCUGUAACCAUAUCAUCUUCCCCUGCUAAAACUUCAAACUUUGGCACACGGAACUCAUUUUCAAUCGUUCCGACUUUAUUAACAAUUGUCUUGAUUCUAGGAUAAUUUUUCUGAUAAUACAAAAAGGCCAAACAAGACAUAAGUAUGUAUAAACAUACUAGCAUGGUACAUUUUCUUAUGAUUUAAAAAAUUGCAUAUAUAAAGAGAAUGCAAGUGUCGACACUAAGCUUACAAUGACAAAAGUUCCAAACAAUAACCCUUGCAAAAACAACAAGGCCUUGCAAGAACAAAGUGAAAGAGUAAAAGUCCAGCUGUGACAAACAAAACAUUUUAACAGCAUAUAUGGGGGAACACACUCCAUGCAGAUUAUGAGUUAAAAAUGAAGCUAGGUCAAUAUUGAGGCCGGAAGCGAGUGAAACAUACAUCAUAGAUAACUUUUGCAAUGACAUUCUUGUAGGAGAGUAAUUCGUCAUGAAUAUUCAGAUGGGCAACAUGACCUGCAUGAGCAUGAAGCAAUGUUAGUCCGCAUCAGAUAUCAACACGGUUAAUCCCUGUAUACUAAACUGAUAAUAAACACUAAACAAAGAUUAUCAAGUUUUGCGCAGUAACUUGGGAUUGUAAAGCUAUGUAGAAAAUGUGCAAGAAGUUUGCAAACUCCUGAGUAUGAAGACAAACACAUAAUGAGGAAAAAAUAGAAUCAUGAAGAGAGUACUUAACUAUAGUUUCGAAAGAUGAAGGAACUUCCACUCCAGGAGGCAGAAUCUGCUUCAAUAUAUGGUCUGAAAUCAUAACAAUCAGUAAGAAAUUUGAACAUCAUUGAACAAAUACAGGGUCAAAAAUUCAAAAUCUUAUCAGUUAGAAACUUUGUAUGCAAUGCAAGAGUGGGGGUGAGUGUGUAUGAGGUUAUGCAAAAGAAAGAGAUUAAUGAAAAAGAUACCAAAAAAGCAUCAAAUCGACCUGCACCCCAAUAUGAGUAUCCAAGUGUCAACGAAUAUGGAACUACUUCAAUCUUGCAUAAACCCUUUAGUUCAUCGAUAUUUUUUUCAGGAACAUCAGAUAGGUCUGCCUCACACAAAGAAAAUUUUCAAUUAGUGACAAAAAUGCACAUAAUCCACAGAGAUCUUAUGAACACAAAAUUUUGAAAACUUGUUUACCAGAAUCUUGGACCCUCUCAGAUAAUAUCAUGUAACGAUUUUUUUCGCAUGUUGGGUCUUCGGUAAUCGGUUUUAUGCGGGGCUUAUCAAGCAAAUAUCUGCAAAUAAAAUACCAUCCAACUUAUAUAAACUAUUACCAUACAAAGCAUUCCAUUGGCAGCUACACACAGAGAGAUGGAGACUUGCAGAGUUACCCAUUUAGUAUGCGAGUGGCGACCUUGCAAAGCUCACGAGGGAUCCGAAGUGCCCACAGUUUCAAAUGCACAUCAAAUUUACUUUCAUCCAACAUUUUCCUCUCUUUUUUGUAGAAUUAAAAAAAAAAAAGGCCUAAAAUUGAAGCAUGAACUUAAAUGUUAGUAUCUAAAGAAAAAGGGAAAGUGGAAGCCGGAGUUUCUUAGACCAUCGGCUACUGCGGUAUUCCGCAGAUUGUUCCGAAAGGGAUUAGGGUUUAAGCAGUUCAAAUGGCGGGUGGAAAACUAUCCUAGUACGGUGUCGUUGCCGCGAAGAGGUUUUCGGGAUCCUACUCAAACUAAAUGGGCCCAAUUUGAAAGUGAGCAGCCCAUCUAAUUCACUGAAUUGGCUUUAUUGCAAAUGUGAGAGAAGAUAAAUGAUGUAGGCGGGUGCGUCCUAGUUUUUCUCCCACACGGCAUGGUUGUCAAUCCAUCCAUAAACCUAUACAGGUGCAAAUGAAAUUGCAUACUGAAAAUUCUUGUGCAAGUGAUUCCAGUGUGACUUUUUUUCCUUCCCAGUUGUUCGAUACUAUUAUUUUUUCUAUACAUUAAUAUUGAGAGAGCGUAAAUAUGAGCUUCGAAUGCAAUAAUAAUUACUCUUAAUCACUAGAACUACAAAUUCUUACAUUAAAAUUUUAAUAUUUUAUUGUUAGGUACGACUUUAAAGUUUCCACUACCAUAUAUAAUAAGGAUAUCUUAUUUUUGGACUAUUUAUAAUCGAAAUCGUUCAAUUUUUAGUUUCUUUAAAGGAUAAUUUAUGUGAAUAAUAAAAAUACAUAGUUGAAUAUCCAUGAGAAAGUUGGGUGCGAUUCCCUUACAAUAUAAGUGCACCCUCUUUCUGCUUGCUGACUUUGGUAAUAUUAUAAAGCCGCUCAACCAAUAUAUCCUUUCCCCAUCUUAUAAGAUAGCUUGAUGGAUUACAAUAGCUCAACUAAUCAAUCUACCAAUUUUAUUUAUUCACAAAUUGACAUUUGACGGUAACUUCCACCAACCAAAUUACACUUUAUGCAUUUUGGAGCUGGACUUGCUCAUAUUCUAUGAUAUUUAGGGCUCUUUCGGUUAGAAUUGGAGUAGAUAAGUCAUUAAAUUUAAGAUAUAUUAAAGAAAAAAAUAUAAAAGUAAAGGUAAAUGAUUUUUUCAUUUUGGAGAUUGGGGGAAUAAAUUAUAAAGUGUUGAUAUCCUAUCAUUUUGUGGGGAUUAAAUGAGUAAAGUUUUCUUCAUGAAUAAUCCAUCUUCUACCUUCAACGUGUUACUUGAUCAAAAAAAUUUAAUUUCUUCUUCUAACAUGCUUCGUAAGUAACCAAUCCAAGGCACUAAUCGUGCCCAUGAUGUAUGAAAUACUCGCAUUUUUCACUCCAACAGAAACAUAAAAGGAAAAGAAGAAGAAAAAGGACCAGAUAUUCAAUCAACCAACACAAAAUAAUAGUAAACGAGUCACUGUUUUCCAUUUGGUAUUUCUCCUUUCAAUCUUUGAAUAUGUACAUGGAUUCACAUGAAGCAAAAGAAGCAAAUCUAAGGUCAUAAAUACAAAGAAUCAUUCUUUGGCUUUGGUGUAUAAUUUUGGCCUUGCCCUUGAAAAUUUGAGUCCUUGACCCAAAAGCUCUAUCACCAACCAUGUUUUCCCUUAACCGCAGCUUUUCUUCCUCAGCUUUCACUUUGAACUCUUGGAGAACAGCACAAGCAAUAAGACUGUGUGUGCCACGUUGACCAAUCAAUUUGGAAAAUUCUUGGAGCUAGCUAGCUCUGGCUAUUGGCUAAUCUGAUAUGGAGUGGUCGUGCCAGCAGAGGAGCAUCGAAACGCAGCGUCCGAGGAUGUAGAACCGGGUCUUUUGGUGCUUCGCCAUCAUAAAGCACCGCUUUCGAAACCCCAUUUUCCGGUGGAUUUUCCGGCGGACUCGGCGUGUGACUUGGUUUUGGGGAAAAUUAGGACUUGUCAUGGAGAACUGGCGGCGGCGAAAAUCGGGAGGCAGGAAAGACGAAACUACAGAGUUAUUAGUGUUUGAACGAACACGGAAUUAUAUGGUUGUGGUUUUGUUCUUUUAUAGGCGAUGGAGUUGUUGUGCGGACAUAUGCGGCGGUCCCCACCUCGUCAGCUUGAUGUCAUUUCAUUGAAAUCUAACUUUUGCCCAAUUUUACAUUAUUGUCCAUCUCCUAUUAGGAGAUAAACUCUCAUACAAUGAGGAUAACUUUUUUUACUAUCACGAUCACUCAUUAUGUUAUUGGUCGAAGAUAAUAAAAUAAUAUUAUUUUCGUUAUAAAGUUUUAUUUUAUUUUGUUAUUAGAGGCUUUGUGAUUGCGUGCCAACAAUAUUG